rnacentral:miRNA from 1 species
UUUAAUUAUGUAGUAUUCUUG